UCCUACGGGAGGCAGCAGUAGGGAAUCUUCCGCAAUGGACGAAAGUCUGACGGAGCAACGCCGCGUGAGUGAUGAAGGCUUUCGGGUCGUAAAACUCUGUUGUUAGGGAAGAACAAGUGCUAGUUGAAUAAGCUGGCACCUUGACGGUACCUAACCAGAAAGCCACGGCUAACUACGUGCCAGCAGCCGCGGUAAUACGUAGGUGGCAAGCGUUAUCCGGAAUUAUUGGGCGUAAAGCGCGCGCAGGUGGUUUCUUAAGUCUGAUGUGAAAGCCCACGGCUCAACCGUGGAGGGUCAUUGGAAACUGGGAGACUUGAGUGCAGAAGAGGAAAGUGGAAUUCCAUGUGUAGCGGUGAAAUGCGUAGAGAUAUGGAGGAACACCAGUGGCGAAGGCGACUUUCUGGUCUGUAACUGACACUGAGGCGCGAAAGCGUGGGGAGCAAACAGGAUUAGAUACCCUGGUAGUCCACGCCGUAAACGAUGAGUGCUAAGUGUUAGAGGGUUUCCGCCCUUUAGUGCUGAAGUUAACGCAUUAAGCACUCCGCCUGGGGAGUACGGCCGCAAGGCCGAAACUCAAAGGAA
rnacentral:rRNA from 1 species